UGCUUUUUUCGCCCAGGCGGAGCUCGACCGCCGCUUCAAGUCCUGAUGGCCUUCAUCGACCAGCAUCGUGCGGUCUACGGAGCCGAGCCGAUUUGCAGGGUGCUGCAGAUCGCUCCA
rfam:Massilia sp. Root351 contig_3, whole genome shotgun sequence.